rnacentral:rRNA from 1 species
GAUGAACGCUGGCGGCGUGCCUAAUACAUGCAAGUCGAGCGAACAGAUGAGGAGCUUGCUCCUCUGACGUUAGCGGCGGACGGGUGAGUAACACGUGGAUAACCUACCUAUAAGACUGGGAUAACUUCGGGAAACCGGAGCUAAUACCGGAUAAUAUAUUGAACCGCAUGGUUCAAUAGUGAAAGACGGUUUUGCUGUCACUUAUAGAUGGAUCCGCGCCGCAUUAGCUAGUUGGUAAGGUAACGGCUUACCAAGGCAACGAUGCGUAGCCGACCUGAGAGGAUGAUCGGCCACACUGGAACUGAGACACGGUACAGACUCCGACGGGAGGCAGCAGUAGGGAAUCUUCCGCAAUGGGCGAAAGCCUGACGGAGCAACGCCGCGUGAGUGAUGAAGGUCUUCGGAUCGUAAAGCUCUGUUAUUAGGGAAGAACAAAUGUGUAAGUAACUAUGAACGUCUUGACGGUACCUAAUCAGAAAGCCACGGCUAACUACGUG